GCUAAUGAACUGAAGUGCAAGAAGGAAUAUACACCUCACCUCUUGCUAAGUUGCAUCGCUAGUAGAAUCUCCUUCUCCAUCAACAAUUAUUUUCCCCCAACCAAAAUGGGACGCAGAAGGAUUAGAAAUUCCAUGAAACAUUAAUAUAACAAUCACAUGAUUAGUUUUUUUACAUUAUUGUAACUUCUCCAAGUUGAAAGUUAUUUCUUUUCAAUCUUGCAGCAAAAACUUGCACUCAACUUAGCUCAGCAUGUGAAGAGACUCAAUGACUGAAGGCAUCACUCAGAACUUACAUGUCUGAACCUUCAUGGCAUCCAUCAUAAGCUAUCUCAAUUAAAAUUAAAACAAAACGCAGGGUUCCAGUGCACAACGUGCAAAUUCAGAUCCACAAAAACAGAAAAUAGCUUAUUUACAGAAGAAAAUAUUCGACACUUAGAUUAAUGUUGAAACAAUUUAAGAUCAUGCAAAAUAUUCAAAGAUAAAAAACAGCAAAGAUAAGAGCUUCCUCUUGGGAAACUAAUCCGUGAGUUC
rnacentral:lncRNA from 1 species